rnacentral:lncRNA from 1 species
UUUAGGUUCAGAGCGUUUGAGUACAGUAAAUUAUGUUGUAGUGUGGUUUUAGUCAUGAUUACAUUUCCACAACUGUCCACUAGAGGUCACUAUUUUACUCUCUAAAAUCCUUGGUGUCUUUUGUAGUACAAGUAUGAAUUUGCUUCUGUUAGACCAUGAACCAGUUGGGACUUUGAUGUUUCUGAUGUGUGUUUCAGCUGAAGACAAACAGAUUGAAGGAGAGGCCUCCUAUCGACUGGGACUGAACUAGUCUCUCAGUACUUCCUGAUUUCCUGUCUGUGGCUCUCAGCAUCAAGUUCCUACUGAAGAUAUCAGUCAUUGAAAAUGGGUCACAAACAGUUUUUGGACAACAAUGAAUAGUCAGUAUAAGAGAGCUUAUGAGUUCUUCCUGCAGGGUUAUGAAGUUGCCUGUAAACUGGGAGAUGUGGCUCUGCUGCAGAAGACACAGGUGUUGGUGGCCAACGCUCGCGCUCACUCCCUGAUCCUGAAAUACAGCGCUGAUGUGGUGUCGGCCAGUCCCACCGCCCUGCGUCGACUGAUUGCCUGGAAAGAGAGCAGAGUCUGUCAGGAAGUCAGUGCAGACUGUACAGACAGUGCUGCUACUGCCUGGCUGUUUAACUUUUUAGGAUCCUCCCCUCCUGUAUGCAUCAGUGACGUUCUUCUUCAUUGCCUUCAGAGCGGGAACAGCACAACAUGACUGAUCCAGUUUGCAUUCUUCACCCUGCAGGUAAGAGUUGUUUUUUAAAGUAAAAUAAUCCCUGAUCAGCAUUUUACUAAUUUAAUCAAUAAUCCUCAUUCAUAACGAAGUACAAUUAACAGAUAAAUUGUUAAUUAGCUGUGAAAUUACGACAGGUUAACAUAUAAGGGCAGUUUCUUGCUUUAAAUGAUGCAUAUGUUACACUUCAGUCAGGACCACUUUUGUCAAAAGAGAACUUAUUUCCAAAUGCAGAAUGUGAUAUUUGGCGGUAUGGAUCUGUUCUGGGACCUCUCUGCCCUUCCACGUGCACAUGUGAAAAACUUAAGACAAGGAGAGCAGCAGCAAAGACCCCUCAGGGUACAGGACAGAGCAGGCUUCAAUGACAACAGAAAUAACAUUGAUUAAAUCAGAUAACACAUAAAAGGUGGAGCUGGGGUGGAGGUGGGUUGCAGAGGAUGCAGCAACGGUAGGCAGCUUAAAUAAGGCACCACUAAAUGAGGGGCCACUGGGGGCUUUUGAGGGACCUUUGGCUGAUCUUUUGGGGCCACUGAUUCCUGAUGGUAUUUCAGAUGAUUCUCAAACGGUGCUCUGUUGAUUAUUGCUGCCGUGCAAAAGCAAUGUAAGGAUGUCACAUUUGUAAAACUCAGGCUGCAUUUGACACAUAACUGUGAACUCUGA